rnacentral:misc_RNA from 1 species
GAAAUGCGAUAAGUAGUGUGAAUUGCAGAAUUCAGUGAAUCAUCGAAUCUUUGAACGCACAUUGCGCCCCUCGGUAUUCCGUGGGGCAUGCCUGUUCGAGCGUCAUCUACACCCUCAAGCUCUGCUUGGUGUUGUGCGUCUGUCCCGCCUCCUUCGCGCGCGGACUCGCCCCAAAUCCAUUGGCGGCGGCCCUUGCCUCCCUCUCGCGCAGCACAUUGCGCUUCUCGAGGCGCGGCGGACCGCGUCCAGCAAGCAACCGUCACACCGUCUUUGACCUCGGAUCAGGUAGGGAUACCCGCUGAACUUAAGC